rnacentral:lncRNA from 1 species
CCACCUCAGCCUCCCAAAGUGCUGGGAUUACAGGCCGAGGUGGGCGGAUCACGAGGUCAGGAGAUCGAGACCAUCUUGGCUAACACGGUGAAAUCCCGUCUCUACUAAAAAUAUAAAAAAUUAGCCGGGCGCGGUGGCGGGCGCCUGUAAUCCCAGCUACUCAGGAGGCUGAGGCAGGAGAAUGGCGUGAACCCGGGAGGCGGAGCCUGCAGUGAGCCGAGAUAGCGCCACUGCAGUCCAGCCUGGGCGAAAGAACGAGACUCCGUCUCAAAAACAAAAACAAAAAAUCUCCUUUAAAAUUUUCAAAAUAGAAUUUUUAAAUGGAGAAAUUCAAAAUACUGAAUAAUGAAAUGGGAGGAAGAAAAAGCAACCCAGCCACUGGUGCUAAAUUUCCUAAGGUUGUUCACAUAGCCCUUUAACUUUAACCUCUUUCUUAGCAUCAUUGUUUAUCAUUUUUUGAGGAAUCUUUGUUUAAUAGCUAGCUUACCUUAAGAAAUAGUUUUCCUUUCCCUUUGGUGGCUCAUACAUUUGGGGAAGUGACCUUCAAGAAACGUGACUCAUUUUGCACCAACUUGACUUAGUCAUCCAUCCAGCCUCUCCCAAUUUGGGGAUCCUUUGCAAAGGGAAUGAUUAAACACUGCCCAUGUCUAUAAAGAGGGAGAUUAACCAUGGGUUCGGUUAAAUUACUCCUAAUAUCGUACAUUAUUUUGUAUUUUCUGGACUAAUAAGAAAACUUGACAAAGU